AACGAACGUUGGCGGCGUGGAUGAGGCAUGCAAGUCGAACGCGAAAGCCGCAAGGCGAGUAAAGUGGCGGACGGGCGAGUAACACGUAAUCAAGCUACCUGCGAGACGGGGAUAACUUCGGGAAACCGAAGCUAAGACCCGAUGGUCUUCUAGGAACGCAUGUUCCAUGAAGUAAAUGGGCGGGAUCCUCCGGGAUCGCCUGCUCGCAGAGGUGAUUGCGGCCCACCAGCUAGUUGGUAGGGUAAUGGCCUACCAAGGCAACGACGGGUAGCCGGCCUUAGAGGGUGGUCGGCCGCACUGGGACUGAGACACUGCCCAGACUCCUACGGGAGGCUGCAGUCGAGAAUCUUCCGCAAUGGGCGAAAGCCUGACGGAGCGACGCCGCGUGGGUGAUGAAGGCCU
rnacentral:rRNA from 1 species